GAUGAACGCUGGCGGCGUGCUUAAUACAUGCAAGUCGAACGGACAGGCCCUGCUCUUGUGGGGUGCUCGAUUGGCGAACGGGUGAGUAACACGUGAGUAUCCUGCCCUUGACUUUCGGAUAACAUCUGGAAACUCGGGCUCAUACCCGAUAGGAUCUCCUGCUGCAUGGUGGGGGUUGGAAAGUUUCGGCGGUUGGGGCUGGACUCGCGGCUUAUCCGCUUGUUGGUGGGGUAGUGGAUUACCAAGGCUUUGACGGGUAGCCGGCCUGGGAGUGUGACCGGGCACAUUGGGACUGAGGUACGACCCAGACUGCAACGUGAGGCAGCAGUGGGGAAUAUUGCACAAUGGGCGGAAGCCUGAUGCAGCGACGCCGCGUGCGGGAUGACGGCCUUCGGGGUGGAAACCGCUUGCGCCUGUGACGAAGCGUGAGUGACGGUAAUGGGUAAAGAAGCACCGGCUAACUACGUG
rnacentral:rRNA from 1 species